rnacentral:rRNA from 1 species
CGGCGACGGGGGCGGUUCGCCGCUCGUGACGUCGCGAGAAGUCCACUGAACCUUAUCAUUUAGAGGAAGGAGAAGUC